GUCUUGGUGGUGUAGUGGUCAAGACGCCUGGUAAUCAGGAGGGCGUGGGUUCAAUCCCAGCCGAGGUA
rfam:Asian citrus Psyllid, Diaphorina citri - Florida Strain, whole genome shotgun sequence.